CACGUAGGGGGCAAGCGUUGUCCGGAAUCAUUGGGCGUAAAGAGCUCGUAGGCGGCUCAGUAAGUCGGGUGUGAAACCUCCAGGCUCAACCUGGAGACGCCACUCGAUACUGCUGUGGCUAGAGUCCGGUAGGGGAGCAUGGAAUUCCUGGUGUAGCGGUGAAAUGCGCAGAUAUCAGGAGGAACACCAGUGGCGAAGGCGGUGCUCUGGGCCGGAACUGACGCUGAUGAGCGAAAGCGUGGGGAGCAAACAGG
rnacentral:rRNA from 1 species